CAACCUUCGAAUAGGUUCACUAACAUCACAUCCAAGUAGUACCAAAAAGAAAAGCUUUGGUACUUUGCUCGAAAUGAGUACUGGUAGUUUAUUUAAAAGAUUGAUUGCUUCAUGUACUCUUCCAAGUUUCCAAAGAAAAAUAUAAAGAAAAAUGUAAAAAAACCUGUUUCACAGCACCAUCUCGAGUGUAAACGAAGGAAAUGGAUCAUUUCUGGAUCGAUUCUUAAGUAUUCAUUAAACAAACUCGUCUUUUUCUCCUCCCAUCGAAAUGAGUGGAAAAAUGGGUUUGGGAGCCGGUUAACCCAUUGAGAGAAUGGAAUGCGGAAGGCAGUUGAAAAGCUUCCAAAUGGGUCUUUUUUCGCAUUGAGAAGCGCCACGGAACUUUCACAAAUCUUCUCUAGGAUUUCUCCCAAUUUCUCUUUGGAAUACACCUGCAAUCAAUCAAUUAGUGUUAAUUCCCAAUCAAUUAUUAACAUACUUUGUAAAGUUGGUAUUUUUCCGUUGCUAUUAAAUCGGCCAAUUGUAUG